AGCCACGCAGUGGACACAAAGCGAACUAUUCUUUCGCCUUUUACUAAAGAAUACCGUGUGUUCGCUGCAAUUAGUGGCAUACACUAAUUUUUGGAGAGGUCCAGUUCUUUUGGAUU
rnacentral:snRNA from 1 species